UUGUACCAAGUAUACUUGAACCAGUUGUGGGAUGGAUAGAUAACUUCAAUGGACCAAUGGCGAUGACUGUUGCAGCAGCCAAAGGUAUAAUGAAAAUUAUUUACUGUGAUGAGAAUGUCAGGCAGGAUUAUGUUUAUGUCGAUAAUCUGGUUAAAGCAAUGCUGGUGGCUUCGUGGAAAAUGGCAACCGAG